rnacentral:rRNA from 1 species
AUUGAACGCUGGCGGCAUGCUUUACACAUGCAAGUCGAACGGUAACAGGUUAAGCUGACGAGUGGCGAACGGGUGAGUAAUGCAUCGGAACGUGCCCGAUCGUGGGGGAUAACGCAGCGAAAGCUGCGCUAAUACCGCAUGCGAUCUGAGGAUGAAAGCGGGGGACCGUAAGGCCUCGCGCGAUCGGAGCGGCCGAUGUCAGAUUAGGUAGUUGGUGGGGUAAAGGCCCACCAAGCCGGCGAUCUGUAGCUGGUCUGAGAGGACGACCAGCCACACUGGGACAGAGACGCGGCCAAGACUCCUACGGGAGGAAGCAGUGGGGAAUUUUGGACAAUGGGCGAAAGCCUGAUCCAGCAAUGCCGCGUGCAGGAAGAAGGCCUUCGGGUUGUAAACUGCUUUUGUACGGAGCGAAAAGGUCCUUUCUAAUACAAGGGGCUCAUGACGGUACCGUAAGAAUAAGCACCGGCUAACUACGUGCCAGCAGCCGCAGUAA